UACGUAGGGGCCUAGCGUUGUCCGGAUUUAUUGGGCGUAAAGAGCUCGUAGGCGGUUCGGUAAGUCAGGUGUGAAAUCUCCACGCUCAACGUGGAGGCGCCACCUGAAACUGCCGUGACUCGAGUCCGGUAGGGGAGUGGAACUGCGAGUGUAGAGGUGAAAUUCGUAGAUAUUCGCAAGAACACCAGUGGCGAAGGCGGCUCACUGGCCGGGUACUGACGCUGAGGCACGAAAGCGUGGGGAGCAAACAGG
rnacentral:rRNA from 1 species